rnacentral:lncRNA from 1 species
UUUAAAAGAAUGUUUAACAUGCUUUUACAAGAUCGGAGAAAGAUAUUAAAGUUAAGAGAAAUUAUAAGAGUGACAUAUACUUUAAAUCGGAACAACAAUCACGACGGUACAAAAUCCAUCCAAGCACCACAGUGUUUCUGGAAAAGAUUUUGGUAAUAUUUUAUAGCAAUCUUUAAUAGUAUCACAUUCUGUAAUGUACAUUAAAAAUAAUGAAAUAUUAUUAAAAUAAGGGAAAAAUUGUGUAUAAAAUAAACAAAAUAUAAAAUGAGAAAGAGCUUACUAUAAUGAUAACCAAAGACUGCAACGUUAAAAAGGGAAACAAAAAGGAUCACAAUAUAAGCAAGCUUAAGAGUUUGAGCCAUUUUUUUUCCACCUUUGCAUCUUACAAAUAUAAACUGAUUUAAUAACUUUAUAUAGUAAAAACCAUUUCUUAUGUUUACAUCAAUUAGGUAGUUUUUAAUGAUUAUGUUGUUGUUA